rnacentral:rRNA from 1 species
GAACGCUGAAGGGAGAGCUGCUCUUCUGGAUGAGUUGCGAACGGGUGAGUAACGCGUAGGUAACCUGCCUGGUAGCGGGGGAUAACUAUUGGAAACGAUAGCUAAUACCGCAUAACAUUGACUAUUGCAUGAUAGUCAAUUGAAAGGUGCAAAUGCACCACUACCAGAUGGACCUGCGUUGUAUUAGCUAGUUGGUGGGGUAACGGCUCACCAAGGCGACGAUACAUAGCCGACCUGAGAGGGUGAUCGGCCACACUGGGACUGAGACACGGCCCAGACUCCUACGGGAGGCAGCAGUAGGGAAUCUUCGGCAAUGGACGGAAGUCUGACCGAGCAACGCCGCGUGAGUGAAGAAGGUUUUCGGAUCGUAAAGCUCUGUUGUAAGAGAAGAACGAGUGUGAGAGUGGAAAGUUCACACUGUGACGGUAUCUUACCAGAAAGGGACGGCUAACUACGUGCCAGCAGCCGCGGUAAUACGUAGGUCCCGAGCGUUGUCCGGAUUUAUUGGGCGUAAAGCGAGCGCAGGCGGUUAGAUAAGUCUGAAGUUAAAGGCUGUGGCUUAACCAUAGUACGCUUUGGA